rnacentral:rRNA from 1 species
GUAGGGAAUCUUCCACAAUGGACGAAAGUCUGAUGGAGCAACGCCGCGUGAGUGAAGAAGGGUUUCGGCUCGUAAAACUCUGUUGUUAAAGAAGAACAUAUCUGAGAGUAACUGUUCAGGUAUUGACGGUUAUUUAACCAGAAAGCCACGGCUAACUACGUGCCAG